rnacentral:rRNA from 1 species
CGUAGGAGACGAGCGUUAUCCGGAUUUACUGGGCGUAAAGCGUGUGCAGGCGGUUCGGCAAGUUGGAUGUGAAAUCUCCCGGCUCAACUGGGAGGGGUCGUUCAAUACUACCGAACUUGAGGUCAUCAGAGGAAGGUGGAAUUCCGGGUGUAGUGGUGAAAUGCGUAGAUAUCCGGAGGAACACCAGUGGCGAAGGCGGCCUUCUGGGAUGAUCCUGACGCUCAGACACGAAAGCUAGGGGAGCGAACGGGAUUAGAGACCCCGGUAGUCCUAGCUGUAAACGAUGUAGACUUGGCGUCGGAGGGUUCAAAACCUUCGGUGUCGUAGCUAACGCGAUAAGUCUACCGCCUGGGGACUACGGCCGCAAGGUUA